rnacentral:rRNA from 1 species
AUUGAACGCUGGCGGCGUGCCUAACACAUGCAAGUCGAGCGGUAACAGGUGUAGCAAUACAUGCUGACGAGCGGCGAACGGGUGAGUAAUGCUUCGGAAUCUACCCAAUGGUGGGGAAUAACCAGCCGAAAGGUUGGCUAAUACCGCAUACGUCCUACGGGAGAAAGCAGGGGAUCGUAAGACCUUGCGCCAAUGGAUGAGCCGAAGUCGGAUUAGCUAGNGGUAGGGUAACGGCCUACCAAGGCGACGAUCCGUAGCUGGUCUGAGAGGACGACCAGCCACACUGGGACUGAGACACGGCCCAGACUCCUACGGGAGGCAGCAGUGGGGAAUAUUGGACAAUGGGGGAAACCCUGAUCCAGCGACGCCGCGUGUGUGAAGAAGGCCUGCGGGUUGUAAAGUACUUUUUAGUGGGGAUGAAAAGUUCGAGGGCUAACUACCCCUGGUAUCUUGACCUAACCCACAAGAAAAGCACCGGCUAACUCUGUGCCA